rnacentral:rRNA from 1 species
GCGCAGCAGGCGCGAAACCUCCGCAAUGCGCGAAAGCGCGACGGGGCCACCCCGAGUGCCGCCCGCUGAGGGUGGCUUUUCCCCGGUGUAGACAGCCGGGGGAAUAAGGGGAGGGCAAGUCUGGUGUCAGCCGCCGCGGUAAUACCAGCUCCCCGAGUGGUGGGGACGAUUAUUGGGGCCUAAAGCGUCCGUAGCCGGCCCAGCAAGUCUCCCGUUAAAUCCGAGCGAUCUAAUCGCUGGACUGCGGGAGAUACUGCUGGGCUAGGGGGGCGGGAGGAGGCCGGCGGUA